GCCAUCCCGCGUGUAUGAUGAAGGCCUUCGGGUUGUAAAGUACUUUUGGCAGAGAAGAAAAGGUAUCCCCUAAUACGGGAUACUGCUGACGGUAUCUGCAGAAUAAGCACCGGCUAACUACGUGCCAGCAGCCGCGGUAAUACGUAGGGUGCAAGCGUUAAUCGGAAUUACUGGGCGUAAAGCGUGUGUAGGCGGUUCGGAAAGAAAGAUGUGAAAUCCCAGGGCUCAACCUUGGAACUGCAUUUUUAACUGCCGAGCUAGAGUAUGUCAGAGGGGGGUAGAAUUCCACGUGUAGCAGUGAAAUGCGUAGAUAUGUGGAGGAAUACCGAUGGCGAAGGCAGCCCCCUGGGAUAAUACUGACGCUCAGACACGAAAGCGUGGGGAGCAAACAGGAUUAGAUACCCUGGUAGUCCACGCCCUAAACGAUGUCAACUAGCUGUUGGGGCCGUUAGGCCUUAGUAGCGCAGCUAACGCGUGAAGUUGACCGCCUGGGGAGUACGGUCGCAAGAUUAAAACUCAAAGGAAUUGACGGGGACCCGCACAAGCGGUGGAUGAUGUGGAUUAAUUCGAUGCAACGCGAAAAACCUUACCUACCCUUGACAUGUCUGGAAAGCCGAAGAGA
rnacentral:rRNA from 1 species